GAGUAACCUGCCCUUGACUCUGGGAUAAGCCUGGGAAACUGGGUCUAAUACCGGAUAUGACUGACCGUCGCAUGGUGGUUGGUGGAAAGCUUUUGUGGUUUUGGAUGGACUCGCGGCCUAUCAGCUUGUUGGUGAGGUAAUGGCUUACCAAGGCGACGACGGGUAGCCGGCCUGAGAGGGUGACCGGCCACACUGGGACUGAGACACGGCCCAGACUCCUACGGGAGGCAGCAGUGGGGAAUAUUGCACAAUGGGCGCAAGCCUGAUGCAGCGACGCCGCGUGAGGGAUGACGGCCUUCGGGUUGUAAACCUCUUUCAGUAGGGAAGAAGCGAAAGUGACGGUACCUGCAGAAGAAGCGCCGGCUAACUACGUGCCAGCAGCCGCGGUAAUACGUAGGGCGCAAGCGUUAUCCGGAAUUAUUGGGCGUAAAGAGCUCGUAGGCGGUUUGUCGCGUCUGCCGUGAAAGUCCGGGGCUCAACUCCGGAUCUGCGGUGGGUACGGGCAGACUAGAGUGAUGUAGGGGAGACUGGAAUUCCUGGUGUAGCGGUGAAAUGCGCAGAUAUCAGGAGGAACACCGAUGGCGAAGGCAGGUCUCUGGGAGAUUAACUGACGCUGAGGAGCGAAAGCAUGGGGAGCGAACAGGAUUAGAUA
rnacentral:rRNA from 1 species